rnacentral:misc_RNA from 1 species
AAAAAAAAAAAAAAAAAGCAAAGAAAGAAAAAAAAAAGUUAGGGAAAAAGGAGUUUUAGGCUUUGUUUGGUUGCUUUUUUGGUCUGAUGAUUUUGGGUUAGGUACCAACCAUAUUUCCAAAUAAUGGUGUUAUGGUAAAAGGUGGUUUUGAAUGGACUUUGGGAUUAAAGGAAAACGGCAGAAAAGAAAAGUCUUUUUUUUUUUUUU